AUUGAACGCUGGCGGCAGGCCUAACACAUGCAAGUCGAGCGGAUGAAGGGAGCUUGCUCCUGGAUUCAGCGGCGGACGGGUGAGUAAUGCCUAGGAAUCUGCCUGUUAGUGGGGGAUAACGUCCGGAAACGGGCGCUAAUACCGCAUACGUCCUGAGGGAGAAAGUGGGGGAUCUUCGGAUCUCACGCUAUCAGAUGAGCCUAGGUCGGAUUAGCUAGUUGGUGGGGUAAAGUCCUACCAAGGCGACGAUCCGUAACUGGUCUGAGAGGAUGACCAGUCACACUGGAACUGAGACACGGUCCAGACUCCUACGGGAGGCAGCAGUGGGGAAUAUUGGAAAAUGGGCGAAAGCCUGAUCCAGCCAUGCCGCGUGUGUGAAGAAGGUCUUCGGAUUGUAAAGCACUUUAAGUUGGGAGGAAGGGCAGUAAGUUAAUACCUUGCUGUUUUGACGUUACCAACAGAAUAAGCACCGGCUAACUUCGUG
rnacentral:rRNA from 1 species